rnacentral:ncRNA from 21 species
ACGAAUUCAGAUCUGCUACCUCCUCCCUUUAGGCAGAUUUGAACGAAGGCCCAUCGCUUCACCUCCUCCCGAGGCUUUGGGUCAGCAAUAAGGUGGCGGCAUCCACCUCCUCCCGGGUGCCGCCGCUUUAU